rnacentral:rRNA from 1 species
UACGAAGGGGGCUAGCGUUGUUCGGAAUUACUGGGCGUAAAGCGCACGUAGGCGGACAUUUAAGUCAGGGGUGAAAUCCCGGGGCUCAACCCCGGAACUGCCUUUGAUACUGGGUAUCUCGAGUCCGGAAGAGGAGAGUGGAAUUCCUGGUGUAGCGGUGAAAUGCGCAGAUAUCAGGAAGAACACCCGUGGCUAAGGCGGCUCUCUAGUACGGUACUGACGCUGAGACGCGAAAGCGUGGGGAGCGAACAGG